rnacentral:rRNA from 1 species
GACGAACGCUGGCGGCGUGCUUAACACAUGCAAGUCGAACGGGCCCGCCCCUGUUUUUGGGGGUGGGUUGAGUGGCGAACGGGUGAGUAUCACGUGAGUAACCUGCCCCCUGCUCCUGGAUAACUGCUUGAAAGGGCGGCUAAUACGGGGUGUGCCGGCUGGUCCGCAUGGGCCUGGUCGGGAUAGUUUCAUCUUCGGGUGUUUCGGUGGGGGAUGGGCUCGCGGCCUAUCAGCUUGUUGGUGGGGUGAUUGCCCACCAAGGCGGUGACGGGUAGCCGGCCUGAGAGGGUGGGCGGCCACACUGGGACGGAGACACGGCCCAGACUCCUGCGGGAGGCAGCAGUGGGGGGUAUUGCACAAUGGGCGGAAGCCUGAUGCAGCGACGUCGCGUGAGGGAGGGAGGCCUUCGGGUUGUGAACCUCUUUCUCCGGUGGUGAAGGCCCUGUCCGGUGCGGCGGGGUUGACGGUAGCCGGGUAUGAAGCGCCGGCUAACUACGUG